UACGUAGGGGGCAAGCGUUGUUCGGAAUUACUGGGCGUAAAGCGCGUGUAGGCGGCCCUGCAAGUCGGAUGUGAAAUCCCACGGCUCAACCGUGGAAGUGCAUUCGAAACUGCAGGGCUAGAGUCCUGGAGAGGAAGGUGGAAUGCUUGGUGUAGAGGUGAAAUUCGUAGAUAUCAAGCGGAACACCGGUGGCGAAGGCGGCCUUCUGGACAGUGACUGACGCUGAGACGCGAAAGCGUGGGGAGCAAACAGG
rnacentral:rRNA from 1 species